rnacentral:lncRNA from 13 species
CAGCCCUAUUUACUAGGCACUACAAAAGCAGGUGUAAUCAAAGCUGUUCCAAGGAGAGGAGACACUCAUCUCAUCCCUCUUGGACUCCAGCCAGACUUCGGCUGCCUACAAACCACCUGCAAAGCCGCGUCUGCGCAAACCUGCCAGCCACAUCAAACCGUGACUUCCAUCGCCAGCGCGGGCAGGCAGCCAGAGGAGGAGCUACCAGGAAAAGGUCAGCAGGUGAGCCAUUCACUUCACAAACAUGGGAUUACUACGGAACUUUCUACGGCAUCAGCUUUGGCUCAUUUGGGUAUGGGAUGUUGCUCAUUUGAUUUCUGGAUUAAAAGCAUGAUUAAAAUACACAUUAGAGAAACCAAGAUUAUUAAAGCUACAACAUACAUCAUCAAUAUGGAAUGUGCUAAUGGCUUUCACGUCAAGAUUUUUUUUGAAGGUGUUAUCAGCUAGGAAGAUAGUAGCUACUCCCUUCUCCUGCCUAUAGACAUUCUCUAAACAUUUACACUCAACCUAAUUUACCAAAGAAGUAGUGAAAGAAGAGAUCUCUGCCUGCACAAGUAAUAAAGGUGGGCAAAAUAAAAAUGAAGAUGUACAUUUUGUUUUUGUCUCCUUCUAAAGUCAAGCUUCUUUCUUAAAAAAAAAAGUAUUCUGUGGAAAGUGGGACAAGAGAAAUCUGUAUUUUAACACAGAAAAACAAAUUAAUGCUUUGUGAAACAACACAGAAGUCAAUGGCACUACCCCAGAGAUGAAUUUUAGCCAGGCUGUAAAAAGAAAACAUAAAUGCAACACAGACCAACAGAAAAGAUUCCAUUUAGAGUAAGAAUUAUGUUUCUGUCAGAAAAAAAACCAACAACUAACUAAAUUUAUUUCCUGGAAGGAGAUCCAACUUGGCUCCGCCGCAACAGCGUAAAAGGAUCCAAAAUAAGUAACAGCAGGCAUCUCCGCUAAAAUUUGCUUCUGAUCAACAUUAUUUUUCCUCUGGUACAAGAGAAGAAUUGAACACGUACUGCAAGUGAGGCACAGUAGUUUACUGCACAGAACAUGAGAAAGGAGGCUAAAGCUCUGGCAUUCAAAACUCUGCUCAGCCAGGGAGCCAGUAGAAGGUCUUCAACAAACCACAUGCACUCUGUGGAGCUAAUUCCCACCUAAAUGCUUUCUAUUUCAGAUAUAUAAGCUCAGACUGGAGGGGGCAGAGAGUGGAAUAGUCUUAAUUACACCCAUGCUCUACGCCUGCUUCCCCACACAUGAAGAUGUGAGGUCAGACCCUCACUGCAGGGAUGUCAGCAAUGCUGAGGGACUGUCAGCUCCCUGAAGUGCCAGCAUCUUACUAAAUCCAUCUGAUGACAUGAAAGCAGGAACUUUAUAUUAUGCUUUUGUGGUGGCAGUUUGUAUAUACCAGCACACAUUAAUAAAUGAAGAAUAAAGCACCACAACCACAAUCUGUACAUCUGUGUCUGUUUUAUGGUAUCCUGAAAAUAUUUCUGAAGUAGUUGGAAUACAGAAAACAGAAAUUAUCAUUCCGUCCCAGCUGGGCUCAUGUGAAAUGCUAUCUGACUCUGACUGGCAGAUUUGGUAUUUAGUUAAUUGUGAGAGACCCCACUUUGAAUAUUGUACCAACAUUUGUUAUGAUCCGUGAGUAUUUCCCUUCACAUCGCAUUUUCUCCAUACAUAAACUUACCAUAAUCCAAUAAAGAGCCUGUGUGAGCAGGUCUUCUACUUGCAGCCUUUCCACUAUGCAGGGGAAAGCCUGGCAUUUUUGCAUAUGAUGUUCAUGCAAUUUUUCAUUUCUGCCUGAGUGAGAUCUGCAAUGAAUGGAAGUUUUCCUCAUGCAAAAUCAUUUGUUCUCAGGCUGUUCCAACAUAAAACUGAAGGUUUCAUUCAGAGACAUCUAGUAAGAAAUGCUUCUCAGAAUCUGGUAAAAGAAACCUGCACUAGACAUCAGGAAAUUGUUCAUUAAAAAAACCACAAUCCAAAACCCAACUAGGGAACUAUGCUGAGGUGACAAAUGAAAUUGUAAUGGGGAAAAAAAUUAAGAAUAAUCAAAAGUCAACAGAGUCCUAAAGUUUCACAGUAAUUUGUCUUUCAAAAAGUGGAUGUACACUAAAUACUCCCCCUAAAAUCUUGCAUCUAAUUCACUCAUGGUCAAAAUGGAAUUUACAUUAAGUCAGUGUUCCUAAGGGACACAGCAACACAUAAGGUCCAAACCUGACUUAAAUCCAGAAGAAUUCCACUGAAAUCAAUCGUUACAGCAGUGCAAAUCAGCAAGAGAUCUAAAUCUGUCCUAGCUGAUUCCAGAUCUAUCUUUUAUUUGCUAUAUGGCUUCAGGCAAGUCAGUGACCUUCUUUUUAUUUCUCAGUUUCUCCAUCCGUAAAAUGGUGAUAAUAUUGUUGCAAUGAAGAUUGGGGGGGGGGGACCAAUUAAUUCUCUAACACGGUCUGGAUACAGAAAUUUCUGGGGAUCAAUCAUUUUUAGUCACCUCCAUCAUCUUUAUUGACUCUUUAUAAUCUUAAUACUUGGCUGCUUGCUUGCUUGCAUGUUUCUCUUUUAAAAACCACAAGCCAUAGCCUGGUAUCCUUAUUCAAGUUUUACGCUGUUUACUUCCGUGGCAGGAUUCACAUGAGAAAACCGAGUACAAAAUUCGGAAUUGGCCAAACGGUGAGGCUAUUUCAAACAAAACUCACGAAUCACUGCAUGAAAUUAACACCGUUUACACCCGUUUUGUCAAGAGCGCAGUUUAUUAGCUGAUGCCCAAACAACCAGGGCACAAACAAAAAAGUCGCCAAUCUUUCUUCACUCUUAUUUGAACAAGGCACGCUGCUCCGGCAUUUGAAGGGACAGUCGGUUUUGUUCAAACAGUUAAAGCGGGGGGAAAAAAAAUAAUGAAGAACAACCCAACCUGAAAACACCCUAACGUCUGACAGCUCUGAGAGGGACCUCUAGCGUGUGCUAGAACAUUUUGUGUUGUGCUUCGGGCGCAAUUAAUACACCAAAAUCACCGCAGUCAUUUUGAAUAGGCAAAGGGAAGUUUCGCCAAGUACCUCCGACCCGCGGGCCCUGCAUCGUUCCGCGGGCCGAGCAUCCUUCCGCGGGCGCUGCCGAACCCAACCCGCAACUAUUAAACUGACACUUUUUCUUUUCUUUUUCUUUUCAUUUUCGCCGCUGGACUCGGCGUGCGCAAGGAGCCAACUUCCCCAGGUCACCCCGGAGUUUCCCCACUCCCCCACCCGCAACGCCCGGCCCCCUUGCACGGCCCCCGGCUCCCGGCCGCCCCCGGCGCUCGGGGCCAGCUGAAGCUGGAAAGUUGCGUUCCAGGCGCAGCCUUUCCUCCGGGCUCGUGACCGGGAACAGCAAUUACUGGAGCCACCGGCCGCACCGCGCCCCCCCGCGCACCGGGCGCUGCCUGCGGGCACCGGGCGGUGCUGCCCCUUCCCUUCGCUCCCCGCCGGCCGGGGAGGAGCCGCGCUCCUCGGCAGCCCCCGCCGCUCAGCUCAGGAGAGGGAAGCGUUUCGCCCAUCUUUAAUUCUCCCGAACAGUCCGAGCACGCUCGGUGCCCGCGGGGCACGCUCACAUAAACUUGUACCGCGCUGAUUGGAAACAGGCGGCGGGCGGCUUGCUUUCUUCUUCCUUUUUUUCUUCUCCUUUUUUUUUUUUUUUUUAGGCUUUUUUUCAGCCGGCGGACGCGGCUCCCUCUUCCAGGCCGGCGUCGGACACAGGGGACGGGGCAACGCGGCCGGUCCCGGGGGGCACCCGCGGUGCUGGCGCGGAGGGAGCGCGGCCGCCGCUGCCCGCGGGCGGUGCGGGGGGAGAACCGCGGGGCCGCCCUUCCCUUCCCUUCCUUUCCUUUCCCUUCCCUUCGCCGCCCCGGCAACAAAGGGCGCCGCGGGGGGCUCCGGAGGGGCUUCGGGCACGGGGGGAAGGUGCCUCCCGCUCUCGCACAGACACGCACAGACACACACACACAAUGGCGGCCCCCUC